rnacentral:SRP_RNA from 1 species
GCUGGGCGUGGUGGCGCGCACCUGUAAUCCCAACUACUUGGGAGGCUGAGGCUGGAGGAUCGCUUGAGCUCAGGAGUUCUGGGCUGCAGUGCACUAUGCCGAUCGGGUGUCCGCACUAAGUUCGGCAUCAAUAUGGUGACCUUCUGGGAGUGGGGACCACCAGGUUGCCUAAGGAGGGGUGAAUCGGCUCAGGUCGGAAACGGAGCAGGUCAAAACUCCCGUGCUGAUCAGUAGUGGGAUUGCGCCUGUGAAUAGCCACUGUACUCCAGCCUGGGCAACAUAGCGAGACCCUGUCUCUU